UGAUCUUGUUUAGGCCAUCAUCUCAUUAUGCUCAGUCCAUGGAUAAAUAUAACAGGAUGAUGGCCUAAACAAGACCA
ensembl:miRNA